rnacentral:rRNA from 1 species
GAUGAACGCUGGCGGCGCGCCUAACACAUGCUAGUCGAACGAUUAAAGCACCUUCGGGUGUGUAUAAAGUGGCGAACGGCUGAGUAACACGUGGGCAACCUGCCCCUUUCAUUGGGAUAGCCACGGGAAACCGUGGAUAAUACCGAAUACUUCGAGACUUCCGCAUGGAAGACUCGAGAAAGCUCCGGCGGAGAGGGAUGGGCCCGCGGCCUGUUAGCUUGUUGGUGGGGUAACGGCCUACCAAGGCAAUGAUGGGUAGCUGGGUUGAGAGACCGACCAGCCAGAUUGGGACUGAGACACGGCCCAGACUCCUACGGGAGGCAGCAGUGGGGAAUCUUGCACAAUGGGCGAAAGCCUGAUGCAGCGACGCCGCGUGCGGGAUGAAGGCCUUCGGGUUGUAAACCGCUUUCAGCAGGGACGAGGCGAAAGUGACGGUACCUGCAGAAGAAGCCCCGGCUAACUACGUG